CAUUUUCAGUAAAGAAGUCCUGAGUAAACACGUUGACGUUGAAUACCGCUUCUCUGCCGAACCUUAUAUUAGUGCCUCAAGCAGUAAUGUCUCAGUUUUAUCUAUGUUAUGCCUACGGGCAAAGAAAACACUCUAAGGAAUUUUGCAAAUGGCAAAGAUUAAAGGUCAAGUUAAGUGGUUCAACGAAUCCAAAGGUUUUGGCUUCAUUACUCCGGCUGACGGCAGCAAAGAUGUGUUCGUACACUUCUCCGCUAUCCAGGGCAAUGGUUUCAAAACUCUGGCUGAAGGCCAGAACGUUGAGUUCGAAAUUCAGGACGGCCAGAAAGGUCCGGCUGCUGUUAACGUAACAGCUAU
rnacentral:sRNA from 1 species